GCUGGACCGGUAUACUUUGCUGAC
rnacentral:miRNA from 1 species